rnacentral:tRNA from 1 species
AGGCGUAUAGCUCAGUUGGUUAGAGCACCACCUUGACAUGGUGGGGGUCGAUGGUUCGAGUCCAUUUACGCCUA